GCGUUCCGGCGGGACGGGACUCGGCCUUCGCUGGGCUCCGCGCUCAGCCCUGCGGGCAGCUCUGGGCACAGACGGAGCGGCCCACUCUUCCACGCAGAGCAGGUGAGGCUGAGCGGGUUAGGUACUGAAAGGCUGCAGUGAGGUCACCCCUCAGCCUUCUUUUCUCCAGGCUGAACAAGCCCAAUUCCCUCAGCCUGUCUUUGUUAUGGACGUUCUCCAGCCCCCGAUCAUCUUUGUGUCUCUCCUCUGGACCCUCUCCAACAGCUGUCUUUCUUGGACUGGUGACUCCAGACCUGCGCACAGUUGAAAGGAAUUCAUUUCCAUAAACUCCCUCCCCCUGGCGCGUGCGUCCUGUGCAGUGAGGGUCCGUGCUGGUGGUGUUCGGGGAUGAAGUUAGUUGUCUUCCACACUCUGGUUCUUCACCUCUGGCCCAGUUUGCACAAUAAAACCGAUUCUUGCUGACUAUGUCCCAA